rnacentral:rRNA from 1 species
GACGAACGCUGGCGGCGUGCUUAACACAUGCAAGUCGAACGCUGAAGCUCAGCUUUUGUUGGGUGGAUGAGUGGCGAACGGGUGAGUAACACGUGAGUAACCUGCCUCCUUCUUUGGGAUAACGCCCGGAAACGGGUGCUAAUACUGGAUAUUCACUGGUCUUCGCAUGGGGGUUGGUGGAAAGGGUUUUUCUGGUGGGGGAUGGGCUCGCGGCCUAUCAGCUUGUUGGUGGGGUGAUGGCCUACCAAGGCUUUGACGGGUAGCCGGCCUGAGAGGGUGACCGGUCACAUUGGGACUGAGAUACGGCCCAGACUCCUACGGGAGGCAGCAGUGGGGAAUAUUGCACAAUGGGCGCAAGCCUGAUGCAGCGACGCCGCGUGAGGGAUGGAGGCCUUCGGGUUGUGAACUUCUUUCGCUCAUGGUCAAGCCGCAACAAUGGUAGUGGUGAGGGUAGUGGGUAAAGAAGCGCCGGCUAACUACGUG